GACGAACGCUGGCGGCGUGCUUAACACAUGCAAGUCGAACGGAAAGGCCCUGCUUUUGUGGGGUGCUCGAGUGGCGAACGGGUGAGUAACACGUGAGUAACCUGCCCUUGACUUUGGGAUAACUUCAGGAAACUGGGGCUAAUACCGGAUAGGAGCUCCUGCUGCAUGGUGGGGGUUGGAAAGUUUCGGCGGUUGGGGAUGGACUCGCGGCUUAUCAGCUUGUUGGUGGGGUAGUGGCUUACCAAGGCUUGGACGGGUAGCCGGCCUGAGAGGGUGACCGGCCACAUUGGGACUGAGAUACGGCCCAGACUCCUACGGGAGGCAGCAGUGGGGAAUAUUGCACAAUGGGCGGAAGCCUGAUGCAGCAACGCCGCGUGCGGGAUGACGGGCUUCGGGUUGUAAACCGCUUUCGCCUGUGACGAAGCGUGAGUGACGGUAAUGGGUAAAGAAGCACCGGCUAACUACGUG
rnacentral:rRNA from 1 species